AAUCAACGCUGGCGGCGUGCCUCAGACAUGCAAGUCGAACGAUUAAAGCUCUCUUCGGAGAGUGCAUAGAGUGGCGCACGGGUGAGUAACACGUGAGUAAUCUACCCUCGAGUGGGGAAUAACGUCCGGAAACGGGCGCUAAUACCGCAUAACGCAGCGGCACCGUAAGGUGACAGUUGUUAAAGAUUUAUCGCUUGAGGAGGAGCUCGCGGCAGAUUAGCUAGUUGGUGGGGUAAUGGCCUACCAAGGCGACGAUCUGUAACCGGUCUUAGAGGACGGUCGGUCACACUGACACUGAAUAACGGGUCAGACUCCUACGGGAGGCAGCAGUCGGGAAUUUUGGGCAAUGGGGGAAACCCUGACCCAGCAACGCCGCGUGAAGGAUGAAGUAUU
rnacentral:rRNA from 1 species